rnacentral:rRNA from 1 species
UGGGGAAUUUUCCGCAAUGGGCGAAAGCCUGACGGAGCAAUACCGCGUGAGGGAGGAAUGCCUUUGGGUUGUAAACCUCUUUUCUCAGGGAAGAAGAUCUGACGGUACCUGAGGAAUAAGUAUCGGCUAACUCCGUGCCAGCAGCCGCGGUAAUACGGAGGAUGCAAGCGUUAUCCGGAAUCAUUGGGCGUAAAGCAUCCGCAGGUGGUUUCCAAAGUCUGCUGUUAAAGACUGGAGCUCAACUCCGGAACGGCGGUGGAAACUUGGAAACUAGAGUUCGGUAGGGGUAGCAGGAAUUCCCAGUGUAGCGGUGAAAUGCGUAGAUAUUGGGAAGAACAUCGGUGGCGAAGGCGUGCUACUGGACCGUAACUGACACUCAGGGACGAAAGCUAGGGGAGCGAAAGGGAUUAGAUACCCCUGUAGUCCUAGCUGUAAACGAUGGAAACUAGGUGUGGCU